AUUGAACGCUGGCGGAAUGCUUUACACAUGCAAGUCGAACGGUAGAGGGGCAACCCUCGAGAGUGGCGAACGGGUGAGUAAUGUAUCGGAACAUGCCCAAUCGUGGGGGAUAACGUAGCGAAAGUUACGCUAAUACCGCAUACGAACUACGGAUGAAAGCGGGGGAUCGCAAGACCUCGCGCGAUUGGAGUGGCCGAUAACAGAUUAGGUAGUUGGUGGGGUAAAGGCCUACCAAGCCGACGAUCUGUAGCUGGUCUGAGAGGACGACCAGCCACACUGGGACUGAGACACGGCCCAGACUCCUACGGGAGGCAGCAGUGGGGAAUUUUGGACAAUGGGCGCAAGCCUGUUCCAGCCAUUCCGCGUGCAGGAAGAAGUCCUUCGGGUUGUAAACUGCUUUUGUACGGAACGAAACGCGCUGUGCUAAUACCACGGCGUAAUGACGGUACCGUAAGAAUAAGCACCGGCUAACUACGUGCCAGCCGCCGCAGUAA
rnacentral:rRNA from 1 species